rnacentral:rRNA from 1 species
GAAUGGUUGGACAAGAAAUAAUCUGUCUUAAUUAAAGAUAUUGAAUUUAACUUUUAAGUGAAAAGGCUUAAAUGAUCUGAAGGGACGAUAAGACCCUAUAAAACUUUAUAUUUAAGAGUAGAAAUUAGUUUUAUUUAAAGGUUACUAUUUUAUAAUAUUUGGUUGGGGCGACAGGGAUAGAAGAAAAAGUAACUGUCUUUUUUUUUUUACAACAAUAUUUGGUUUAAUGAUCCUAAAAUGGAUUAAAGAUUAAGUUACUUUAGGGAUAACAGCGUAAUUUUCUUUAAGAGUUCUUAUCGACAGGGAAGUUUGCGACCUCGAUGUUGAAUUAAAGGUUCUUUAUAGAGUAGAAACUAUAACAGAAGGUCUGUUCGACCUUUAAAGUUU